GGAGCUGCUGCGAGUGGUGACAGUGUUGGAGGUCUCCUCCGCCUCCUCGUCUUCUUUCGCCUCCAGGACCUCACCAAAGAACCUGAAGAUGGAGGUGAAACUCAUCCAGGAGAAGCGAUCAAUGCCGCAGCACUCUCUCGUUCACCCUGAACUGGCGAUGAACUCCUCCGGAAUGCCGCCAGCUUCUCCACCCUAUCCCAUCGCAGUUCAGGGUCACCAGGGGGGUGUCUCUGUGCCAAUAUGCAGAUGAGCCUGUGCCCCUCCAAUGACUCUAGCAUUAAGCUCCACCCCUCUAUAUGGUGAAGCCUCUGAAACGAAGUCCACUGCCUCAGACUCAUGAAGCCGCUUUCGUACAGACUUAAACACUCCGUUAACAACUUGUGCCCACUCUUCCUUUAAUAGCCACAGUAUGUUGAACCUAAUGGAUGUUGUCAAAGCUGAGAUGUGAUCACUGAUUUAAAGGAGCAACCCCAAUGAUCAGAGAGAGAGAGAGAAUGGGAUGGAAGAGAAGAAGAGACAGAAUUACAUCAGCUAUGCCACAAAUCAAAGUAAUAUCUUUAAAAGAUGUGGGAAUCGAUGAGGUGUCAUCUGGCUAUAUCUCGUGUGUAAAGUGAACCCAUAAACAGCCAAUACUACUUUAUCCUCAAUUUUACCCUGUUACUGAAAAAGGUUCUUUUCUUUUUUUUUUUACCUGUAAAGCAGAUUCUUUUAUGGGCAAUUGAUUUCAUGUAUUAACAAAAGAUACAAUGGACCAAGAGCUUUUCCAUUUUCAUGAUUUUAAUUAUCACUUGGAUCUUGUAUUUAAUUGAUGAACUUGAACAAUAAAGCAUCCUGCGCAUUUUUGUUUUCCUUAUUGAAUUAACUAUAAAACAAAUAAGUUGCAUGUGCUAAUUUUAACAGGUUUAUUGUAAUUGCAUUAAUUAGUCUAAUAAAGUUUAUUCUAAAGACA